rnacentral:rRNA from 2 species
ACGUAUGUCCCGAGCGUUAUCCGGAUUUAUUGGGCGUAAAGCGAGCGCAGACGGUUGAUUAAGUCUGAUGUGAAAGCCCGGAGCUCAACUCCGGAAUGGCAUUGGAAACUGGUUAACUUGAGUGCAGUAGAGGUAAGUGGAACUCCAUGUGUAGCGGUGGAAUGCGUAGAUAUAUGGAAGAACACCAGUGGCGAAGGCGGCUUACUGGACUGUAACUGACGUUGAGGCUCGAAAGUGUGGGUAGCAAACAG